rnacentral:rRNA from 1 species
UGGGGAAUAUUGCACAAUGGGCGCAAGCCUGAUGCAGCAACGCCGCGUGAGGGACGACGGCCUUCGGGUUGUAAACCUCUUUUGGCAGGGAAGAAGCGAAAGUGACGGUACCUGCAGAAAGAGCACCGGCUAACUACGUGCCAGCAGCCGCGGUGAUACGUAGGGUGCAAGCGUUGUCCGGAAUUAUUGGGCGUAAAGAGCUCGUAGGCGGUUUGUCGCGUCUGCUGUGAAAACCCGAGGCUCAACCUCGGGCCUGCAGUGGGUACGGGCAAACUAGAGUGCGGUAGGGGAGAUUGGAAUUCCUGGUGUAGCGGUGGAAUGCGCAGAUAUCAGGAGGAACACCGAUGGCGAAGGCAGAUCUCUGGGCCGUAACUGGCGCUGAGGAGCGAAAGCAUGGGGAGCGAACA